ensembl:lncRNA
ACAGACUGGAGGGGUUAGGCUACACUUGCACAUAACCUUUAGCUUUAGGGCUUUGUCAUAAAUGGAGCGCACUUUGAGUUCCCCUAGCAAGAGUGGUUGAGAGCAAGGCAAAACUGAAACAGUUACAGAACAAAACAAAUUGUACUGUGGAUUUUGGUUAGGCCUACAUCACACUCUGAAUAGCAGCUGUUCUUGGUUUAUUAACCCGUAAAAGAUGGUUAAGGUAUUUUUCAUUGGCAUUGGAUUUGCCGAGAGGUAUCUUGAAGAGAUCAAGGUCGAUCUCCAAAGACGACUUUGUGUGACUGAAGUCGGAGAUGAAGUAGAAUGUGAUGUAAUCGUGGCCCUCUGUCCAAUCGUCUCUCGAGCUGGAACUGAUGUUGAGGCUGCACUGAAUGUGAUUCCAAGCUCAAAGCCUACACUUGUUAUGGUGCUUCAUCGCACAAUCGACCCGGAUGACAUAAUACCCAACACCCAGAAGUAUGUCGAAGGGAGAGGAAUGACGCUGGACCUGCUUUUCAAUGAGGAAGGAGGACUACUUUCUUGCAGAAGAAAUGAGAACUCCAAGGGAUUGGCUGCCAUUUUCCUCAGCCAAUAUGAAACACCUAGCCCUAGAUACAGUGAUAUCUCUUCAAAUGCCACACGUUUGCCUAUAGGCAAUAUUGUGGUCUUUUUUCUGUUUAUUUCACUUCUUGCCUUUUUAUUCGUUCUUGUUGUUGUGCUAUUACAUGGAACAGUUUUUAACUAACAUUCUGGUUAGCUAACUCAAUCAAGAUCAAAUUAUUUGUUUUUUUCUAGGCUAUUUACAUAGGCUACACUACUAUUACUACAAAACAUGAGCAUUAGCCAACUGAAAUCUGAUAGGCUAUCAGAACCCUAAACUUAAAAUGAAAAUUGGGCUUAAAUGCCAGAAGUGUUUUGUUAAGUCAUAUAUUGGCAAUACCAACAUGUUUUAUUUGAAAACAUUAAAAAGGUGAAGAACAAUCAGCAGUAAGACUUACAAAUGUCAUUUGAUUUAAGAGUGAAUUGUAGUUUAUUAGUUGUAAUUACUCAAACUCCUUGCAUCCUGAAACUGCCCAUCAUCUCUAACCUUUUAGCCAUUUUAUUUAGCUUUAGGCUACUGCUGGGAAAGGUCAAAUCAUGUGAACAGGCCAUAACAAAACACUUCAGUGUUCAGUCAACAUUUUGUGUCCACACUUAUUUCAGUAGGCUACCUACUAAGCUCUAUUCAGACACUUUCACUAUUCAGAGGCUGUUCAUCAAUUGAAAUGACCUAAGAUGAUCUAGUCUCUAUUUCAUAUAGGAAACUAUUCAUAUACUAUUUCAUAUAGUGCUUCUUCCAUGACACUUUGUCAGCAGAAGUAGAUAGAAUUAAAGAAAUGGCAAGUUGAUGUUUGUUUUUCUGUCUGCACACUUGUUUAUUUUCUGUAAUAAAACUCCAAACAGACGUGAGUUCUGCACAGAGCGCUACAAAUCAAAACAAAAAAACAACAUGGACUUUGAACAAACAUGAAUAAAACUGAUGUUUUUUUUUAAAACAAGUUAAGUUAAGUUUAAAGGACGAUUUGAGUAGAAGAUUGAGUAGAUGCUUUGUGUUCGGUUGAUCAAGUGACUGAUUUUUUCUGAGGACAAACAACGCUCAUAUAAAGUCUGUCCUUCACAGUUUGGGAGGGUAGGCUCUCUGAACAAACUUCUGAUCACGGGACAAUACUAAACCCCCGGGGG